rnacentral:rRNA from 1 species
UACGUAGGUGGCAAGCGUUAUCCGGAUUUAUUGGGCGUAAAGAGAACGCAGGCGGUCUUUUAAGUCUGAUGUGAAAGCCUUCGGCUUAACCGGAGUAGUGCAUUGGAAACUGGGAGACUUGAGUGCAGAAGAGGAGAGUGGAACUCCAUGUGUAGCGGUGAAAUGCGUAGAUAUAUGGAAGAACACCAGUGGCGAAAGCGGCCCUCUGGUCUGUAACUGACGCUGAGGUUCGAAAGCGUGGGUAGCAAACAGG